UNGCAGCAUGGUGACCUGUAGAAUUAGC
rnacentral:piRNA from 1 species